GCUAUGGUGGCUUGGUGGUUAGAGCGUCCGUCUCAAAUGCGGUAGGUCGUGGGUUCGAUACGCGGUCGAGUCAUACCA